CAGACCUCUGAUCAGGGAAGACUACCCGCUGAGUUUAAGCAUAUCACUAAGCGGAGGAGAAGAAACUAACCAGGAUUUCCCUAGUAACGGCAAGCGAACCGGAA
rnacentral:rRNA from 1 species